AUUGAACGCUGGCGGUAGGCCUAACACAUGCAAGUCGAACGAGUGGCGGACGGGUGAGGAAUGCAUCGGAAUCUACUCUGUCGUGGGGGAUAACGUCGGGAAACUUACGCUAAUACCGCAUACGAUCGCAUGAGCCGAUGUCGGAUUAGCUAGUGGGCGGGGUAAAGGCUCACCAAGGCGACGAUCCGUAGCUGGUCUGAGAGGAUGAUCAGCCACACUGGAACUGAGACACGGUCCAGACUCCUACGGGAGGCAGCAGUGGGGAAUAUUGGACAAUGGGCGCAAGCCUGAUCCAGCCAUACCGCGUGUGUGAAGAAGGCCUUCGGGUUGUAAAGUCCUUUUGUUGGGAAAGCGGUACCCAAAGAAGAAGCACCGGCUAACUUCGUGCCAGCAGCCGCGGUAAUAC
rnacentral:rRNA from 1 species